rnacentral:rRNA from 1 species
AGAGUUUGAUCCUGGCUCAGGAUGAACGCUAGCGAUAGGCCUAACACAUGCAAGUCGAGGGGCAGCACAUGAGUAGCAAUACGAUGGUGGCGACCGGCGCACGGGUGAGUAACACGUAUGCAACCUACCUCUAACAGGGGGAUAACCCGUUGAAAGACGGACUAAUACCCCAUAAUACAGGGGCUCCGCAUGGAGAUAUUUGUUAAAGAUUUUAUCGGUUAGAGAUGGGCAUGCGUUCCAUUAGCUAGUUGGUGAGGUAACGGCUCACCAAGGCGACGAUGGAUAGGGGAACUGAGAGGUUUAUCCCCCACACUGGAACUGAGACACGGUCCAGACUCCUACGGGAGGCAGCAGUGAGGAAUAUUGGUCAAUGGAGGCAACUCUGAACCAGCCAAGUCGCGUGAAGGAUGAAGGUCUUAUGGAUUGUAAACUUCUUUUGCAGGGGAAUAAAUAGCGGUACGUGUACCGUUUUGCAUGUACCCUGCGAAUAAGGAUCGGCUAACUCCGUGCCAGCAGCCGCGGUAAUACGGAGGAUCCGAGCGUUAUCCGGAUUUAUUGGGUUUAAAGGGUGCGCAGGCGGGAGAUUAAGUCGGCGGUGAAAUUUUGCAGCUCAACUGUAAAAGUGCCUUCGAUACUGGUUUCCUUGAGUGUGGAUGAAGUAGGCGGAAUUUGUGGUGUAGCGGUGAAAUGCUUAGAUAUCACGAGGAACUCCGAUUGCGCAGGCAGCUUACUAAACCACUACUGACGCUCANGCACGAAGGCGUGGGGAUCAAACAGGAUUAGAUACCCUGNUAGUCCACGCAGUAAACGAUGAUUACUGGCUGUUUGCGAUACAAUGUAAGCGGCUGAGCGAAAGCGUUAAGUAAUCCACCUGGGGAGUACGUUCGCAAGGAUGAAACUCAAAGGAAUUGACGG